GUCACUAACAAAGCAUAUACCGAACCUGGCAUCCUCAAGAAAUGUCCCCAUAAUCUCCAUCAAAGAUAACAAAAGAGGGUCCAUAAGGUUAGGUGAAUUGGUGAACCUAAAAACAGCUAUGGCUAUUGGAGUAAAGCUCAGAGGAAGCAAUAUCAACACAGCAGUAAAUGAACAUAUCUGAUACCCUUGUUAGUGUAGAGGGGGAGGUCACCUGUCCACUGCAUAACUGGUGUAACUUAUCAGAAUUUGAUUUUUGGAUAGGUGAGAGGUAUGCAACUUAUUAAUUUUGGGAAGAAAACAUAGUCGCACUAGUUGUUUCUAUGUUUACUGGUUACUAUAAAUAUUGAGGGUUGGGUAAUGUGAUUGUUUUUGCUGUGAUA